rnacentral:lncRNA from 1 species
AUGCGUGCUCCUCAGCUUCUCUUCAAGACCAGCACUGCUGCCCUGCUCCUGGGUCUCUUCCUGACACUGCGGACGGUCCCAACUCAAGGACAAACGCAGAAUGUAAUUUCAAUAACCCUGAGAGUUGAACGAGUUGGGAACUCAGAUGACUAUAUCGUAACACUCACAGUUACAAGUCAUGUACCUGUAUACUUAGUGGUUAAAGCCACACUCGAAGGCUCUGAUGAUGUAACUUUUCCUUAUGGUAAUUUUGUUUACACGGCCUGUCUGUGUCCUAACUGUUCAAAAAAUUUCUUCUGGGACAUACAAGGACCUGCAAAUGGGAUCCUAAUAGGGAAGGCUGAAGUCGUGUCAGAGGAAAAUAUAUGCCCUUCUGAUGUGGAAAUCUCCACCCCUGUUUACAAAGUUUGUAGCAAGCGUGAAAUCGUCGUAACACUCUGAUCUGGAGAGUCUGCUAACUCUGAGGUUGUGAGCAUCUGUGUGGAAUAGAAAAUAAACCUCCCACUGGCUUCUCACUGUGCUGUCUGUGUUCCUUCCCCAAAUCUUAGUACAGUGUCUGCUCAGACACCACAGUGUCCUAAUGAAUCAGUAUUUUAAUAAACCUUCUCAGGGAUGAUAAAUAAGCAUCCAUUUCCUAGCAGACGAGAAGAAAGAGAAGACAGGAAUUUACUCUCACCAUUAAAGUGGGACAGGAAAUAUCCAGAGGGAGAACUGCCCCUAGGGCUUAAAUUAAGGGCAGAACUGAGCGAUGGUUCUAAGGAGCGGUACCCAACCUUAUUGGAAUGAGGGACCAGUUUUGUGGAAGGCAAUUUUUCCAUGGACCUGGUGGUGGGGGGUGAUUUGGGGAUGAUUCAAGCACAUUAUAUUUAUUAUACACUUUAUUUCUAUUAUUAUACCAUCAGUUCCACCUCAGAUUAUCAGGCAUUAGAUCCCAGAGGCUGGGAACCCCAGAAUUAAGUUUCCCUUCUAUUUUAGGACAAUUACAUCCAGCUGCCUCUCCCAGUUAUUGGAAAGUUCAAUGAAUCUGAAGUCCUAAAAUUAUUAUCUCUUGCUGCUCCUGAAAUGGUAGCAAGGAAUAUACUCAUAGGAGCUCAGGUUUGCUGGGAUCCUGACCAGGAUGUUCCUUCCCUUCACCCAAGCUCCUUCAUCACAAUAAACCAAAACAAAAAGCAAGUAGAUACCUAUUGCUAGCGAGAAUGAGGGGCUAUGGGAACCAUUCAGNNNNNNNNNNNNNNNNNNNNNNNNNNNNNNNNNNNNNNNNNNNNNNNNNNCCAGAGACGGCAGCCCACCAGGCUCCCCCAUCCCUGGGGUUCUCCAGGCAUAUAUAAAUAGGUGAAGCCAUCUGGAGAACCACCUGACCUUACUUAAAUUAUGUACAUACCUUCUGAUCCAGCACUUCCAUAACCAAAGGUGAUGGCAAGAGAAAGCAUUUUGAUUCCUGAACUCCUAGGCCUCUCUGUUCUAGUUGUCAAAGACAAAGGACCACUGAAGCACCGAUUUGUUUCAAAAUACAUUCCAUAUCUUGAAGGAUAUCACCCUACACCUACAGGGUGUGAUUCUCAAGUCAUUUCCAUAACUGUUCAUGUAUGAGCUCUCCCAGCAUGCCAUAGGGGCAGUAGUUUCCCGACAAUGUAAUUGAUGAAAAUCAGCACACACCUUGAUCACGUGCCUGUUGUAAGAACUUGUUCAUCUGAAGAAAGGAUUCCGUUGAUCUAAGGAGAUAUGAGAUGGGUCUAGAAGUCAAAUACUCUGUGAGUCCUCAGACAGUAAUGCUGACUAGGAGCUAUCUCCAUCUCAUUUAAUACCUGUGGUGGAGUCCUUGUUGCACUGUCACAGAUGGAUUGAU